CCAAGUUUGAUCUCCUGCAUCUGACUUUCCUGCCACCAGCACGCACCCCCUUUCAAAUGAUCAAAGCAGUGAUGGUUGAAUCGGCCCAGUCCCAGCAGCUUUCCUCCACUGCCGUCUCUCUCUCCCCUCCUCCUUCUCGGGGCCACUCACCCCAUUGGUGGCUGGGGACACGCUGCGGCCCAUUCGGGAUCGGGAGCUCAUUGACCAGAUGGAGAGAAUUUGGGAGCGCCAGAGGUUUGGGCCGUUAUCUGUGGGUGUGGGACUGGGGAGGGCUAGGGGGGAUGACCUCCCCCCAGGGGGUGAGCCCUGUGGAGAGCUGCUGUAUCCCUCAACAUGGCAGUCCAAAUAAUCCCACUCUAGGUCACUGGAGGUCAUUACAAUACUACUGUGACAGUCUUAGAGAAAUAGAAAAGGUGUCCGCACGCAGGAGAAACCACACUGCAACCAAACAGACCAGCAACCAGACUCAAAACCUUCAUACAAUUGCGUCAUUUGUGUGUUUAAAAGGUGACCUCGCACACAUUUAAAUGUCUAAGUUAAAUAUUCUGGAGUUUGUUUGCGUGAAUGUAUAAAUAUUACAUGGUGUAAUAUUGGUAUAAAUAUUACAUGGUGUAAUAUGGGUGUGAUGUUCAUUUGGGAAGAUUCUGAGCGACACUAAUGCAAACGACAGAGAACACAAAGCAAUGGUCCACACAUUCCUUUUCACAGUCAUGACUGCAGUGCAAGCUGGAAACAUGGAAAGAGCAAAUGAAAGGCAGCAUAUAAACAGACAGUCUUACGUCGUCCUGGAUGUCAAGAUCGCAGCCGGCCUUCAGCAGAAUGCGCAGAACCUCGAUGUGGCCCUUGUAGGAAGCCAGGUGCAGGGGACUUCUGCCGUACUGCGGACACAGAACACACACACACAGAAGAGAGGGGCACAGCAACUGAAGAGAGAUACAGCAGGUGAAGCCAACCAGACUGUAUGUCAGUAUCCCCAACUGAAGCCAACCAGAUUGUAUAUCAGUGUCCCAACUGAAGCCAACCAGACUGUAUAUCAGUGUCCCAACUGAAGCCAACCAGAUUGUAUGUCAGUAUCCCCAACUGAAGCCAACCAGACUGUAUAUCAGUGUCCCAACUGAAGCCAACCAGACUGUAUGUCAGUAUCCCCAACUGAAGCCAACCAGACUGUAUAUCAGUGUCCCAACUGAAGCCAACCAGACUGUAUAUCAGUGUCGCCAACUGAAGCCAACCAGACUGUAUAUCAGUGUCCCCAACUGAAGCCAACCAGACUGUAUAUCAGUGUCGCCAACUGAAGCCAACCAGACUGUAUAUCAGUGUCCCCAACUGAAGCCAACCAGACUGUAUAUCAGUGUCCCCAACCAGACUGCAUAUCAGACACAGAGAGACUGACAAUGUGUCUACAGGGCAAUCGUAUUCAUUAACACAUGGCUCUGUCAUCAUGGCACAGCAGUUAGCCGCACGUAAUCUGUCCCAUUUGAAUAAUGAGUCGCCAGUAAACAAACAAAUGUUUAAUCCAGAGAUGGUUUAAAAGAAGCUAGGAUGGAGAGAGAACCUCUACAGCUGCUUAUGGAUUAGCUGCCCACAUCCUCUGGCUCUAAGGCCAACAAUUAUGGGACCUGCAGCCUGCGAUGGAGCAAAUGUGACUUUACAGUUUUUGGAGGUUUAUCUUUAUCUUUCUAUAGUAAUAAUGGAUUGUUUGCCAGGCUAAAUCAGUGAUGCUACUCGACACCACGAUCAUAAGCUGUAUUGGAUUAGGUAAGGUUAGACAUGGCAGAUACUCUUCAUGAAAUGUGCCUUUUCUUAUAACAACUGAAAAGGAAUAUAAAGUGUACUUAAGAGAUAUCUGGAGUUAAGUUAAUGUAAACAAAUUAUCUCAGUAAAUUCUAAAGCCUUAUACCAAGAUACAUAACCCUAUCUCUCCCCAUAGGCUACAGUAAAGCACAGUAACUAUCUGGAAGUGAGAAAAUAAAAUGCAACUGUGUGCUAACCAGCAGCGAUGCGUGGGUAAAAUCACUAGGGAACCUAUGUGUUGUAAUAAUUGUGUUGUUUGCUCUAUAACCUGUUAGUUCAUAUGCCUUGCGACCAUGAUCUAUACUGUAGGCCUAAAGUCCGAGACAAUAAGAAGACACAGAGGCAGAAUAAAUUUAACCACACCUUUGUUUCAUCUCAAAACCGGAGGGCAGCUUCUGUCCGGUAAAAUCCACAAAACAUAUUGCAUGUAACAAACAGUUACUGUGCAUGACCUACGGCAUGGUCAAGCAAGUUAAUGUUUCCAACAUUUUGGGACUACCUAACAACUACUGAUUUAGAACCACGGAGAGUUACCGCAAGUCGCAAAGAUAACAGGGGCUGCCUCCACUUUUCCAACACAAUUUCAACUUCAACAUUUCAACAUCAUCAAAUCACCUAUGCUUAGUCUAAUACAGUGACAACUAAAAGAUACCAAAAACAAUUUAGUCCAAUCAACGUAAGUUAAAUAUGAUGUGGCUGGCCAUUUUUCUGAUUUGUGUGCGUGUUCAUUCGUGCAAGUAGAAAACACAUGUUGACUCCCCCCUACUUGUGAAGAAACGCCAACACCAUCCUCCUCGCUUUCAUGUUGACAAAAUGCUCUAUCACGCUGUCAUACAGUAACACGCUUUAAUUUUUUGUUGUCUUAGGCUACCUGGCUAAAAUGCUUGCUCGCUAGCCUUAGCUAGUCAACAUUAGCCUUCUAUAUUUAGCUACAUAAUUUAACUUUCAUCCUCUCAGGCCAGGGGCACAAUGUAUGAAUUAAUGGUUGGCUUAGAAUCACCGUUAUAGUCAUUGGCGAGUUUGGAGAAUGAAGUAAAACCACAAGUCCAAAUCCCUAUCUCCAUCCAUGGUUCAUUUAGGAAAGGGACCAUUUUAACUCGCUAAGUAGCCACCGGAGGACAACAACACAACGAGAUGCAACAAUUCAAGUUGUUUCUGUUAAUGACGUAUGCUCUCGAUGCGAUUUGAUAGGAGUGAAGCCAAAUCCCAACAGGCUUCCCUUGACACUUUUUGUUGGGUGCGCCAGGACCAUUCAUAGUUGAGCACACUCAAUUUAGCUUAAUGCUGUUUGGCUAUUAUUUUAUACUGUUUUUUUUAUCAAGGGGAGGCCAAAUACUUGCUGGCUUCUCUUGCAUUCAAUGCUGCGGGUGGCAACAAUGUCAUACUCUUUUGGACCAGACUGCCCUCACCCACCUAGAUAAGACAAAUACUUAUGUGAGAAUGCUGUUCAUUGACUACAGCUCAAAACCAUUGUUCCCUCCAAGCUCGUCACCUUGCUUAGGACUCUGGGUCUGAACACCUCCCUCUGCAACUGGAUCCUGGACUUCCUGACGGGCCGCCCCUAGGUGGUGAGGGUAGGCAACAUCACCUCCGCCAUGCUGACCCUUAACACAGGGGUGUAUGCUUAGUCCCCUCAUGUACACGACUGUGUGACCACGCAUGACUCCAACACCAUUUUCAAGUUCGCUGACAACACGAUAGUGGUAGGCCUGAUCACAGGCGACACUGAGUCAGCCUACAGGGAGGAGCAGUGACCUGGCCGUGUGGUACUGGAGUAACAACCUCUCCCUCAACAUCAGCAAGACCAAGGAGCUGAUCGUGGACUACAGGAAACGGAGGGGAGAGCACACCCCCAUCCACAUCAAAGUGGCGGCAGUGGAGCAGGUAGACAGGAUUAAGUUUAUCGGUGACCAAAUCACUAAAGACUUAAAAUGGUCCAAAUACACACACACAGUCGUGAAGAAAGCGUGACAGCGCCUUUCCCCCU